CGUCGUCGCCGGCGACCGCGCACGGUGAGUAACACGUAUGCAACCUGCCCGUGGCAGGGGGAUAAGCGGGGGAAACCCCGUCUAAUACCGCGUAACGCGGCCUAGGGACAUCCCAAGGCCGCCAAAGGGAGCAAUCCCGGCCACGGAUGGGCAUGCGGCGCAUUAGCUAGUCGGCGGGGUAACGGCCCACCGAGGCGACGAUGCGUAGGGGUUCUGAGAGGAAGGCCCCCCACACUGGUACUGAGACACGGACCAGACUCCUACGGAAGGCAGCAG
rnacentral:rRNA from 1 species